AACAACAGGGAUUGCUCAGUAACGGCGAGUGAAGCGGCAACAGCUCAAAUUUGAAAUCUGGCCUCACGGUCCGAGUUGUAAUUUGUAGAGGAUGCUUUUGGCGAGGUGCUUUCCGAGUUCCCUGGAACGGGACGCCAUAGAGGGUGAGAGCCCCGUACGGUAAGACCACCGAGCCUCUGUAAAGCUCCUUCGACGAGUCGAGUAGUUUGGGAAUGCUGCUCUAAAUGGGAGGUGUACGUCUUCUAAAGCUAAAUACCGGCCAGAGACCGAUAGCGCACAAGUAGAGUGAUCGAAAGAUGAAAAGCACUUUGAAAAGAGGGUUAAAAAGUACGUGAAAUUGUUGAAAGGGAAGCAUUCAUGACCAGACUUGGGCUUGGUUGAACAUCCGGCGUUCUCGCCGGUGCACUCUGCCAGUCCAGGCCAGCAUCAGUUUGCCCCGGGGGACAAAGGCGGUGGGAAUGUGGCUCUCUUCGGGGAGUGUUAUAGCCCGCCGUGUAAUGCCCUGGGGCGGACUGAGGAACGCGCUUCGGCACGGAUGCUGGCGUAAUGGUCAUCAAUGACCCGUCUUGAAACACGGACCAAGGAGUCGUCUUCGUAUGCGAGUGUUCGGGUGUCAAACCCCUACGCGUAAUGAAAGUGAACGUAGGUGAGAGCUUCGGCGCAUCACCGACCGAUCCUGAUGUUCUCGGAUGGAUUUGAGUAAGAGCAUACGGGGCCGGACCCGAAAGAAGGUGAACUAUGCCUGUAUAGGGUGAAGCCAGAGGAAACUCUGGUGGAGGCUCGCAGCGGUUCUGACGUGCAA
rnacentral:rRNA from 1 species